AGGUUAUGAUGCUGUCACAAAAAAAAAAACAACAAAAAAAAACCAGCCAGCAUAUAGAAAUACAUUUAUAUUAUUCUUAGGCAUCUUUCCUGUGGGUUGCAAAAAUUUGGUUUUGUUUUCUCUACGUGCCUCGGCACUUCUCGUUCCAUCUGGAAGCGGAGAUCAAAGCGCUGCAGUCCCACAAGCAAGCGAGCAAGCAUUUGUCUCUUGAGCUGCACAAGGAAGCACUGGAAGGCUGACAAAGAAUCGUGCUGCUGCAGGGCAGGGGCCAGAGCGCCGCAGAGAUGCGUCGCUCCAGAUUGCUUCAAGGGGCACCGGAUCACGUUUUGGAGCACGAUGUUUAGUAUUGCAGCCAGAAAGAAGUACUCAUGGUGCUUUGUGACUUUUGCUCAUACUGAUGAACACAUGAACCAGAAACCUCAAGCAAGUGCAGAUCAAGCAGUGAAGUGCUGGACAGUGAAGCAGUGGAAAUGAAUGAGCUGUGACAGUGGCCUCAGUGGUGAGCAGAUUUAUUCCUUCAUGAUGCACUUAAGUGCGUUCAAGAUCCCAUUAAUAUAUUAUGCUAAAUUUAGG
ensembl:lncRNA